rnacentral:lncRNA from 1 species
AUUCACUUUAGCCUCAGUAAUUACAUUGUUGGCAAAAAACAGAUUUCCUGACACUUCUUCUUGAUUUGCACUAUUAGCUUUCUGCAUUAUUUUUCCUGCAGUACACUCUCUAGCCCAGUGCCCAAAUUUGUCACAAUUAUAACAUUUUGGUUUACCCUUGUGUCUACACUCGCCAAAAUGGAAUUUAGAACACACCUUGCACUGAGGUUUUAUGACUUCUUGGUUCAUUGAUUGAGAGGAAUUCACAUUUUGAGAAGAGUUUGUAAAAGGUCUAUGUUGAAACUUAGAUUUUGACUCCCAUUUCUUUCCCUUAAAGUUCCAAUUUUUCUGAGGUUUCCCUGAGUAAGCGCUACCUCUAUUUUGUCCCUUUUG